UACGGGGGGGAGCAAGCGUUGUUCGGAUUUACUGGCGUAAAGGGCGCGUAGGCGGCCAGCACAAGUCAGUUGUGAAAUCUCCGGGCUUAACUCGGAAAGGUCAACUGAUACUGUGCGGCUAGAGUGCAGAAGGGGCAACUGGAAUUCUCGGUGUAGCGGUGAAAUGCGUAGAUAUCGAGAGGAACACCUGCGGCGAAGGCGGGUUGCUGGGCUGACACUGACGCUGAUGCGCGAAAGCCAGGGGAGCGAACGGG
rnacentral:rRNA from 1 species